UACGAAGGGGGCUAGCGUUGCUCGGAAUGACUGGGCGUAAAGGGUGCGUAGGCGGGUCUUUAAGUCAGGGGUGAAAUCCUGGAGCUCAACUCCAGAACUGCCUUUGAUACUGAAGAUCUUGAGUUCGGGAGAGGUGAGUGGAACUGCGAGUGUAGAGGUGAAAUUCGUAGAUAUUCGCAAGAACACCAGUGGCGAAGGCGGCUCACUGGCCCGAUACUGACGCUGAUGCACGAAAGCGUGGGGAGCAAACAGG
rnacentral:rRNA from 1 species